rnacentral:lncRNA from 1 species
AGAAGAGGGCACUCGGGCCAAGGAAAAAGUUACAAUUUUUUUUGUUUCCUAUUUCCCCUUCUCCUUUUCUUUUCUUUUCUUUUUUUUUUUUUAAAAACUAAUAGUCCCUAGAGAAAAAGGAAAUUACAACAAUAAUUCACUGAAUUUCCCCUCACCCCCACACUCAAAACAAAACAUUUCCUUUUAAAGGGUGUCCUUUUUUUUUUCUUAUUCUUUCCCUCACUUUCUACUAAUUUCAAACCCUGCAAUGUCUUCUUCUUAAUAAAGAUGGUCGUUUCCAUUGCACCAAACGUUG